rnacentral:rRNA from 1 species
UGAGCAACCUGCCCUUAGCUCUGGGAUAACCCCGGGAAACCGGGGCUAAUACCGGAUACGAGUCCGAGCGGCAUCACACGGACUGGAAAGUUUUUCGGCUAGGGAUGGGCCCGCGGCCUAUCAGCUUGUUGGUGAGGUAACGGCCCACCAAGGCGACGACGGGUAGCCGGCCUGAGAGGGCGACCGGCCACACUGGGACUGAGAUACGGCCCAGACUCCUACGGGAGCAG